rnacentral:rRNA from 1 species
GGUCAAGAUACUAAGGGUCCACGGUGGAUGCCCUGGCACUGGAGCCGAUGAAGGACGCGAUUACCUGCGAAAAGCCCCGACGAGCUGGAGAUACGCGUUGACUCGGGGAUGUCCGAAUGGGGAA